UUAAUUACUGAAUACUGAUGUUGCUAUAACCACAUAGAUCCAGUCGAGUACCUGAGUGGAAUGGUGACCUUUUCUGAGCUCCGCAAGGUGUCGACAAGCUUCUCUUCUCCACCUUCCUCAGUCUCCCGGCUUUUCUCAUCAAGUUGUUCAUUUUUUAUCUCAGUUACAGACUAACAUGCAAAAAGUUAAAACAAGGUCAGCAUAAUUAAUGCAAUGUUAAGAUUUUUACCAUGUGAAGCUCCUUUUGAAGUCAAUGUUUUAAUGCGUUAGAGACGAAAACUGAAGGAAGAUCAUUGAUAGAAUAGUAAUUGAUAGAAUAGUAAUUGAUAGAAUAGUAAUUGAUAGAAUACUAUUAUCAUUUAGUUUAUUUUAGGGAGUUGGAACUGCACUGUUGUACAUUAACAGCAGCAUCAUAAUUGCUAUCAAGUCGCUUCUCAUUUUCUCCUUUGGGAAUUUUACUCUAUGAGUAAUUUAUCAAAUUUGCUUUGCGAGCAAAUAGUUUGAUCUAGUACUAUAAUGAUAGAAGCUACAUAUAUGGCCUAAUUAGAUAUAUAGCAAAUCUUAGUCAUACGUUUAAUAUCAUCACGUGAUUCUAAUUGCUGACAAGACACUAAAACAAAAUGGAAAGAAGUGGACCUAAUUUAGAGGCUGAACGUAAGACUUAAAAUCAAUUGUGAUAUCAUGAUUCUUGAUUUUACAGAUAAUUCUAGCAGUUUUUGUUCUUGUAAUUUAUUCAAGUGUGUGUUUUGGAUCAAUUUUA